GACGAACGCUGGCGGCGUGCUUAACACAUGCAAGUCGAACGGUGAUGCUCCAGCUUGCUGGAGUGGAUCAGUGGCGAACGGGUGAGUAACACGUGAGCAACCUGCCCCAGACUCUGGAAUAAGCGCUGGAAACGGCGUCUAAUACUGGAUACGAAACUGGCCCGCAUGGGCAUGGUUUGGAAAGUUUUUCGGUUUGGGAUGGGCUCGCGGCCUAUCAGCUUGUUGGUGAGGUAAUGGCUCACCAAGGCGACGACGGGUAGCCGGCCUGAGAGGGCGACCGGCCACACUGGGACUGAGACACGGCCCAGACUCCUACGGGAGGCAGCAGUGGGGAAUAUUGAACAAUGGGCGAGAGCCUGAUGCAGCGACGCCGCUUGAGGGAUGACGGCCUUCGGGUUGUAAACCUCUUUCAGCAGGGAAGAAGCGAAAGUGACGGUACCUGCAGAAGAAGCACCGGCUAACUACGGG
rnacentral:rRNA from 1 species